ensembl:lncRNA
GGUAUGGGGGAGGUUGGAUCAAACACAUUCACAUUACAUCUACACAGCCUUUACACUAGCCAGGUAUGGGGGAGGUUGGAUCAAACACAUUCACAUGACAUCUACACAGCCUUUACGCCAGCCAAUUAUGGGGGAGGUUGGAUCAAACACAUUCACAUGACAUCUACACAGCCUUUACGCCAGCCAGUUAUGGGGGAGGUUGGAUCAAACACAUUCACAUGACAUCUACACAGCCUUUACGCCAGCCAGUUAUGGGGGAGGUUGGAUCAAAACAUUCACAUGACAUCUACACAGCCUUUACGCCAGCCAGGUAUGGGGGAGGUUGGAUCAAACACAUUCACAUGACAUCUAC